UCUGGCGUCUUUGGCGUCCGAGUUGUAAUUUGAAGAAGGUAUCUUUGGGCCCGGCUCUUGUCUAUGUUCCUUGGAACAGGACGUCACAGAGGGUGAGAAUCCCGUGCGAUGAGAUGACCCGGGUCUGUGUAAAGUUCCUUCGACGAGUCGAGUUGUUUGGGAAUGCAGCUCUAAGUGGGUGGUAAAUUCCAUCUAAAGCUAAAUAUUGGCGAGAGACCGAUAGCGAACAAGUACAGUGAUGGAAAGAUGAAAAGAACUUUGAAAAGAGAGUGAAAAAGUACGUGAAAUUGUUGAAAGGGAAGGGCUUGAGAUCAGACUUGGUAUUUUGCAUGCUGCUCUCUCGGGGGCGGCCGCUGCGGUUUACCGGGCCAGCAUCGGUUUGGAGCGGCAGGAUAAUGGCGGAGGAAUGUGGCACGGCUUCUGCUGUGUGUUAUAGCCUCUGACGAUACUGCCAGCCUAGACCGAGGACUGCGGUUUUUACCUAGGAUGUUGGCAUAAUGAUCUUAAGUCGCCCGUC
rnacentral:rRNA from 1 species